UGGCUUCAGUGUCUGUACACCACACAGGGUCCACUGCGAUGCCUUGGCUCAGGAUCUAGCCUGCCCUUCUUGUCUUCCCCCUAUCAUUCCCACUUGUUUUACACCAUGUCGAGUGUCAUGGCUUUAGCAUGUCUUUCUCAGCCUUUCCGCCAACCAUUCUAUGGAGGUUAGGGCUUCGGCUCUAUUCUCCUGUUACUGUCUGUACAACUUUAACAGGGCUGACUCUACUGGCUCUUACAGGCUCCCUUCGGUGAAUUCUGAUCACCACCAUGGAAGACUCCUGCCACUUGUCAGCAGACUUGGCUUUCAGUAAACAGUUGAUGUCUAUGAAAAUCUAACUGUCUUGUUAAAGAGAGUGAUUUCUGCAUUUGGCAUUUGAAAGACUAUGGAGGAGGCUUGAGUGGCAUUCCCACCAUGUUUCCUGAGCACAGAGGACAGCUUUGCAAAGACACUGCUUGGAAGUGGACUGCGCAGGCUUCUUAGAUAUGUAGCCAUCUUCUGGGACCUGCCAGUCUUGGAGAGAGAGAAGAUCCAGAAUUCUACAAGCUGCAAACACACUGUAUUAGAGCAGGCUGAGAUCAGAUGGCUGGGGAGAAAUACAGAUGGAUGGAGUUCUUUUCCUGGAGUUUGCCUGGAAAGGUCAGUGAACAGCAGAAAUAAGGACACAUUUGACCCUCUUGGGAUAUUCCGAAACACCACACUUAGUCAAUUGCCAUCUAAUGAUAAAAUUCAUUGACUAUUUCUUUUCAGGUGUUUUGUUUGCAUUUAUUCAUUUGUUUCUCUGAACAACUUUGUUUGGUAGACAUCUCUUCCAGGUGAAGAGAAGAAGGCUGUGAAGGGAUUGUUUCACAAAAUUAAACAACCAAAUAGAGGUUUGUUUGAGUCCUCAGUCCACAACUCUCCCACAAUACCAUGCUUUGACCUUUCCUUGUUAUUUGAUCUGAUUCUUUGGUGAUGUUUUAUGCUUCUUUGGUUUGGUGAUUGCGACCCCAUCAGUCUUGACGAAUUCAUCUUGGAAAUUCUGCCCUAGAAUCUCAGUUGAUUUUUUUUUUUUGAGUGUCUCGUCCACUUUGAAGCCUGCACCUCUAAUUCUGACAUCAAUAUCCCCCCUCCCUGACAUCUAUCAACUCCACAGCUAUAAUCUUUCUCCUGUUACUCCUGUCUGCCACCUCUGAGCUCAGUGUUAAAGACAG
rnacentral:lncRNA from 1 species